AUUGAACGCUGGCGGCGUGCCUAACACAUGCAAGUCGAGCGGUAACAGGUGUAGCGAUACAUGCUGACGAGCGGCGGACGGGUGAGUAACGCUUGGGAAUCUGCCUGUUAGUGGGGGACAACCCGGGGAAACUCGGGCUAAUACCGCAUACGCACUACGGUGGAAAGCCGGGGACCGCAAGGCCUGGCGCUAACAGAUGAGCCCAAGUCGGAUUAGCUAGUUGGUAGGGUAACGGCCACCAAGGCGACGAUCCGUAACUGGUCUGAGAGGACGACCAGUCACACCGGAACUGAGACACGGUCCGGACUCCUACGGGAGGCAGCAGUGGGGAAUAUUGGACAAUGGGCGAAAGCCUGAUCCAGCGACGCCGCGUGGGUGAAGAAGGCCUGCGGGUUGUAAAGCCCUUUCGGUGGGGAAGAAAAGCCUCGAGUUAACACCUCGGGGUCUUGACGUAACCCAUAGAAGAAGCACCGGCUAACUCUGUGCCAGCAGCCGCAGUAAC
rnacentral:rRNA from 1 species